rnacentral:rRNA from 1 species
GACGAACGCUGGCGGCGUGCUUAACACAUGCAAGUCGAGCGGUAAGGCCCUUUCGGGGGUACACGAGCGGCGAACGGGUGAGUAACACGUGGGUGACCUGCCCUCAGCUCUGGGAUAAGCCUGGGAAACCGGGUCUAAUACCGGAUAUGACUCCAUGACGCAUGUUGUGGGGUGGAAAGCCUUGUGCGGCUGAGGAUGGGCCCGCGGCCUAUCAGCUUGUUGGUGGGGUGAUGGCCUACCAAGGCGACGACGGGUAGCCGGCCUGAGAGGGCGACCGGCCACACUGGGACUGAGACACGGCCCAGACUCCUACGGGAGGCAGCAGGUGGGGAAUCUUGCGCAGGUGGGCGAAAGCCUGACGCAGCGACGCCGCGUGAGGGAU